ACUCCUACGGGAGGCAGCAGUGGGAAUAUUGACAAUAGGCGGCAAGCCUGAUGCAGCCAUGCCGCGUGUAUGAAGAAGGCCUUCGGGUUGUAAAGUACUUUCAGCAGUGAGGAAGGCGGGUACGUUAAUAGCGUGCUCGUUUGACGUUAGCUGCAGAAGAAGCACCGGCUAACUCCGUGCCAGCAGCCGCGGUAAUACGGAGGGUGCGAGCGUUAAUCGGAAUUACUGGGCGUAAAGCGCAUGCAGGUGGUUUGUUAAGUCAGAUGUGAAAGCCCGGGCUCAACCUCGGAAUAGCAUUUGAAACUGGCAGACUAGAGUACUGUAGAGGGGUGG
rnacentral:rRNA from 1 species